AUCCCAGUUCGGAUUGUAGGCUGCAACCCGCCUGCAUGAAGUUGAAGGGGUUNCUAGUAAUCGCGGAUCAGCAUGCCGCGGUGAAUACGUUCCCGGGGAUUGUACACACCGCCCGUCACACCAUGAGAGUCGGGAACACCCAAAGUCCGUAGUCUAACCGCAAGGAGGACGCGGCCUAAGGUGGGUUCGAUAAUUGAGGUGAAGUCGUAACAAGGUAUC
rnacentral:rRNA from 1 species